AAAAAAAAAAAAAAAAAUAUUAUUUUUAACAUAAUAUUUUUUUAUUAUUCAUUUAUAUAUUUAUUUUUUGUAUAAAUAUAUAAUUAUUUUAUAUUUUUUCAGAAGUAAUUUAUUAAAAAAUUUUAUAUGUUUGUUCCUAUAAUUCAUUAUAAUUAUAUUAUAUUUUUUUGUUUUCAUUAUUUUUUUUUUUUUUUAAAUAUAUAUCAUGUUUCUUUUUAAUCAUCUUCUUUAAUUAAAAUUCAAUUUUUAUAUGAUCAUUACUUAGAUUGCAUUAUUUUUUCCUUAUUUAAUAAUAAGGUGGGUAUAUAUAUCAGGUGAUAAUAUUAUAUUAUUAUUUUUUUUUUGAAGAAAAUAAUGCUGAAUUUAUUUAAAUAAUAAUUUUAAAUAUGUCUUUAAUCAAUAAGUUAUAAAAAUAUCAUUGUUAUAAUUUUUAUAAUUUUUUCUGGUUUAUUUUUUAUUUAUACAUAUUUUAUUUUCUUUUAUCUUUAUAAAAUUUGAACGUAUUGUUAAAUAAUUUUUUGUUUUCUUUUAAGGUACCAUUAAAGGUAUAAUAUAUCAAUCAUUUUGUUACUUUUUGGUGGUUAUUUGUGUGUUUGAACUGUUCUAAAAUAUUGUUAUUUUGCAGUGUUGGAAUAAAUAUGUUUCUAUUUUAUUAUUUAUUAUAGAUUUUUUUUUUUUUUUUUCUUUUGGUGUUCUAAUGAAGCAUGUAUUGCAUUCAAAUAAUUAAGAAUUUCAUGUUAGGAUUUAUUAUUUAAAUAUAUAUAUAUAUAUAUAAUAAUUAUAUGAAUUAUAAUCACAAAACAUUUUAGGUGUCAUGUAUAUUUAAUAUAUAUUUGGAAUAUAUACAUGGCGUAUAUAUUAUGGAGUGAAAUAUUCAAAUGGGUGAUACAGCUGUCUUAAAUAUAUUUUUGUUGUUCUAAAUUAUACUCUUAUAUUUAUAUUUAACGCACGUCUUAUUAUAUAUAAUACAAUUAUAUUUCUUCCAUAAUAGGGAUAAUAUUUCUUUUUUCUUUCCCUUUCUUUUAUUUCACAUAUAUCACCGUAACAUAUUCCAUACGAUAAGAUAUAAUUUUUUUUUUCUAUAUAAUUAUUCUGUCUUUAUAAAAAAAAAAGAAAAAAACAAACACCAUUUGUAUAUAAAAUAAAUUAUAUAAUUAAAUUUAACUAUAAU
rnacentral:sRNA from 1 species